rnacentral:RNase_P_RNA from 1 species
AAGACGGGCCGGGUUACCGCUGGUAUAUACCAGAGGAAAGUCCGGGCUUCGCAGGGGAUGAUGCCGGGUAACACCCGGGCACUAUUUCGGUAACCGAAAUAGUGACAGCCAGUGCCGCAGAAAAAAUACCGCCAUUGAAAAAUGGUAAGGGUGAAAUGGCGAGGUAAGAGCUCACCGGGCCGACCGGUAACGGCGGCUGCAAGGUAAACCUCAUCAGGAGCAAGGUUAAGCAGCGGAUGGGUUCCCCGCCUGUUAUCCGCGGGUAAAUCGCUGAUGAUUUUUCCGGUAACGGGAAAACCAGAUAGAUGGUAACCGUAAACAGAACUCGGCUUACAGGCCCGUCUUUUUU